rnacentral:rRNA from 1 species
UUGAAUGGCCGCAGUAUAUUGACUGUGCAAAGGUAGCAUAAUCAUUAGUUUCUUAAUUAGAAACUGGAAUGAAUGGUUGGACGAGAAAAUGACUGUCUCUUUAUAAAUUUUUUAGAAUUUUAUUUUUAAGUUAAAAAGCUUAAAUUUAUUUAAAAGACGAGAAGACCCUAUAGAGUUUUAUAUAUAAAUUAAAAAUAGUAUUUUUAGUUUAUAGUCGUACUUUUUUAAUUAGUAUAUUUGAUUGGGGUGAUUAAAAAAUUUAAUAAACUUUUUUUUUAUGAAAACAUUGAUUUAUGAAAUAUUGAUCCAUAUAAAUGAUUAUAAGAUUAAAUUACCUUAGGGAUAACAGCGUAAUUUCUUUUAAGAGUUCUAAUCGAUAAAGAAGUUUGCGACCUCGAUGUUGGAUUAAAAUUAAAUUUUGGUGUAGAAGCUAAAAGAUUAGGUCUGUUCGACCUUUAAAAUUUUACAUGAUCUGAGUUUAAACCGGUGUGAGCCAGGUUGGUUUCUAUCUUUAAAUAUAAUUUAAUAUUUUAGUACGAAAGGACCAAAUAUUAAUAAGAUUUAUUAUAAAUUUGAUUAUUAUUAAAUU